rnacentral:rRNA from 1 species
UGAUCCUGCCAGUGGUCAUAUGCUUGUCUCAAAGAUUAAGCCAUGCAUGUCUAAGCACAAGCUUACAAAAAGUGAAGCCGCGAAUAGCUCAUUACAACAGCCAUUGUUUACUUGAUCUUGAAAUCCUACUUGGAUAACUGUGGUAAUUCUAGAGCUAAUACACGCAACAAGCUCUGACCUUUGGGAAAGAGUGCAUUUAUUAGAACAAAACCAAUCGGGGUUCGGCCCGCCAAUUGGUGAAUCUGAAUAACUCAGCUGAUCGCACGGUCUUGCACCGGCGACGCAUCUUUCAAGUGUCUGCCUUAUCAACUGUUGAUGGUAGUUUAUGCGACUCCAUGGUUGUAACGGGUAACGGAGAAUAAGGGGUUCGACUCCGGAGAGGGAGCCUGAGAAACGGCUACCACAUCCAAGGAAGGCAGCAGGCGCGUAAAUUACCCACUCUCGGGCACGAGGAGGUAGUGACGAAAAAUACGAGACGGUUCUCAUUGAGCCCGUUAUCGGAAUGAGUACAAUCCAAACCUUUAACGAGGAUCUAUCAGAGGGCAAGUCU